CCAAUGAGGAGGACAUUGGAGAUGGAUUCAGAAGGCUGUUUGCUCAGCUGGCUGGAGAGGAUGCGGAGAUCUCUGCCUUUGAGCUGCAGACCAUCUUGAGAAGAGUUCUAGCCAAGCGCGAAGACAUCAAGUCAGAUGGCUUCAGCAUCGAGACCUGUAAGAUCAUGGUGGACAUGCUGGAUGUAUCCUUUCGUGCGCUCCAGAGAGUGGAGCCUGCCUCCUCAGAUAAAGGAAAGGAGUCCACUCCCCACCUGCCUUCAGAGGCUUGAUUUGUGGACAGGCAGCCUGUCAGGUCUGGGGCUAGAAACCUGGACCCUACACCUGCCGUCUCUGCCCAGAGCAGCCUCGGGGGCUUCCUGGGUGACAUCGUUCUCCAACUUUUCCUAAGCAGAGCUUCCCUAAACCACAGUGGGCCUGACAGGAAUCUGUGUCCUUAGCGAGAUUUCCUUUUAAAGCCGCGUGUGGUGGAACACUUGUGUCAAUUCCAGCACAUGGUGGGGCCAAGGCGGGAGGAUUUCCAG
rnacentral:lncRNA from 1 species